UACGGGGGGAGCAAGCGUUGUUCGGAUUUACUGGGCGUAAAGGGCGCGUAGGCGGCGUGACAAGUCACUUGUGAAAUCUCCGGGCUUAACUCGGAGCGGUCAAGUGAUACUGUCGUGCUAGAGUGCGGAAGGGGCUACUGGAAUUCUCGGUGUAGCGGUGAAAUGCGUAGAUAUCGAGAGGAACACCUGCGGCGAAGGCGGGUAGCUGGGCCGACACUGACGCUGAUGCGCGAAAGCCAGGGGAGCGAACGGG
rnacentral:rRNA from 1 species